rfam:Alligator mississippiensis ScZkoYb_20, whole genome shotgun sequence.
GCUGUCAGUGAUGAUAUCUGUUUCAGUUGGCCUGAAUCUUUUUUGAAAACAUGAGGGGCAACUUCAGUCACUACCUCUUCUGAGACGC